AUGUUCACUCUUAUAUUCAUGUGUCUGUGGCUUUCACUCGGUGACUCCAUGGCAGAGUCAAUAAAGCCACUUUUCACUCAGACAAUUAUAGAUGAAGGCAGUGAUGUUACUCUGUCCUGCAGCUAUGAAUCAAAGAGUUCAUCACCCGACCUGCACUGGUACAGACAAUAUCCAAAAUCUAAACCUGACUUCCUUCUUUUUAUAUCACAAAGUGGAUAUAAAAGUGACUCAAUCCCACCACGUCUUUCUGCUGAAGUUGAUGAAAAGAAUAAACAAGUGGAUCUGCUCAUCUCCUCUGCUGCCGUAUCAGACUCUGCACUAUACUACUGUGCUCUG